UUUACGGAACUGCCAUCUCCCUCGACCUUCUUUCUCGCUCUAUGUCUGAACGGAGAACCCGCUCAUGGUCAAAACCCGAGGCUCCCAGCUCUCUCUCUCUCUCGGCGGAUUUUCCGGGAGAGCUUCCGGGGCGGUGAGGAAACUCCUUCUCCGAUCAGAUGGUGAACAAGAAGAGAGCGAAUUCCUUACUGACGCUCCCAAAGAAAGAACUGCAGACACUGUGCCGGAAGUAUGGGAUGCCAUCAUAUAAACCGAAGCCCUAUCUGGCAGAGGCGUUGGCUGCUUUAUUGCCGGACAACUUUGAUCUCAAAGCCCUGAAACGUAAGUGCGCUAAUACAUCCUGCUCCCAAUCUGUUGAACAUGAUCCCAGCAGCCUUGAUCUUAAUGUAUUACCAAGAAUAACUGGUAAAAAGUACUUGGGCAAAAUGGUGAAUGCUGCCAGCAAAUUACCUGCAGAGAGUGCCUAUAUUGAGUCUGUGAGAAGCGUGGAAGUUAGUACCCCUUCCUUCGAGUUUCACGUUAGGUCAGAAGGGGGAAUAAAUCUUUAUGUUGAUCUGAACUCAACCCUAUCUGAAUGGGCUGAAAGUUUGAAAAAGAAUAUUUGUAUUACUGAGAACAGCAACUGCAGAAAAUCUCAACGGUUGCAUGAGGAACUUGGGCGCUUUGGAGAGAGUACAAGUCCUUCGAAAGGUUCCAUUGCAGUCACUGCCAAUGAAACUGAUGUUGAGCAUUUGCUAUCUGGAACAGCUGCAAAUUCAGAAAACAAACAAAACAGUUGUAAAGAGUUUGAUUGUUUAGAUAGAGUUGAUGGUUCCUUGACGUCUUCUAUCGAGGUAUCGCACACAAUGGAUGAAGGAUUAUCAAAGCCUAUAGAAAAAAUAGUAUUUUCAUCUCACCCAAAUCUAGUUCCUCUACACAAAACCAGAUACCUGUUUCUACAUCAUCUGAUGACCAGAAGAUAGAUAUUAUUGGCGAUUCUCUCUCAAAUUCCAUAUCAGAUGGUGCAGUAAGUUUCCUUACAUCAGAGCAACCUCUGAAGGUGAUUACUGAACAACGUCGGACUUCUCCUGUGAGAUACGACUCCUGCUCUUAUUUGGGUUCAACCAUGCAUGGCUGCUCAGCUUUUGCUUCUGUAGAGAAGCAGCUGUCUGAAGCUGCUGGUUUUCAGAAAGAUAAAUCAUCGCAGUGCAAAGGUAGUGGAGAUGGUUUGGUUGAUCAUAACUGCAUCGUGGCAUCAGAACAGGGUGAAUCAGCCAACUCGAGUGAGGUAGAUCACGGUUCUGAGAGGAGCCAACUCCUGAUAUGUCCAGAGAAAGAGGCGCGGAGCAGCACCGCUAGUGAAAUGGAGAUUUUAAAAUGUUCCCAGUUUGAGAAGUCGUUCAAGAGAAAUUCUUUGAUAUUUGAUGACUUUGUCUCAAGUAGUAACUUUCCCAAGAGACAAAGCACAAAUGGCGGAGAAGGAAAUGGUUCUAGUAAUCCGGAGGUCAGGAAUUUGAGAAGACAUCUCUCUGGGGAAGUCCUUCCUAGACAAUCUAUGCGGUUGGUCUCCAAGUGAAUUGAUAAGCUGUGCCCAGACAACAUAGAAAGCUUAGUCUCGUGUUCAUGCUGGCGAAAAAAACUAAUGUCUGAGGGUAUGGAGCUUUUCUGAAUCUCUUUUUCAGAUAUUCUGUCAUGAAAUUGUUUGCGGAAAUCUUUUGGAGCCCUGGUGGCGGUGCGUCCCCCCAAACUUUGGGCGAGACGCAAAAAACAAAUUAUUGUAGAAAGGAGGGAAAAGGUAAAAGAAUAGUCAAACAUAUUUGUUUUGUCAAUGAUGCUAUCUAUCGCCAUGUAUUGACGCCAUAAACUUGUGAAACAGGUGAGCUUAUUAUGUGUAUACAUGUUGUAUUCUUUUUUUGCCUGGUAUAUGCAUGUUGAGUUUGUCUUUCGAAUUGUCAUUUGAUGAUGCCGUUCAUUAUACUAAGACAAUGAAGAUUCUAUUGCUUUAUUA